AAGACCUUACGCUUUUGGAGCGGCCGAUGUCUGAUUAGCUUGUUGGUGAGGUAAAGGCUUACCAAGGCUUCGAUCAGUAGCUGGUCUGAGAGGACGACCAGCCACACUGGGACUGAGACACGGCCCAGACUCCUACGGGAGGCAGCAGUGGGGAAUUUUGGACAAUGGGGGAAACCCUGAUCCAGCCAUGCCGCGUGAGUGAAGAAGGCCUUCGGGUUGUAAAGCUCUUUCAGCCGGAACGAAACGGUUACGAUUAAUACCUGUAACUACUGACGGUACCGGAAGAAGAAGCACCGGCUAACUACGUGCCAGCAGCCGCGGUAAUACGUAGGGUGCAAGUGUUAAUCGGAAUUACUGGGCGUAAAGCGUGCGCAGGUGGUUUUGUAAGUCAGAUGUGAAAUCCCCGGGCUUAACCUGGGAACU
rnacentral:rRNA from 1 species